UCUGGGAGAGCUUGCUCUUCCAGGAUGACGACCGGCGCACGGGUGAGUAACGCGUAUCCAACCUGGCCCAUACCACGGGAUAGCCCGUCGAAAGGCGGAUUAAUACCGUAUGCUGUCAUUAAGAUGCAUAUAUUGAUGACGAAAGGACUGGCGGUAUGGGAUGGGGAUGCGUCUGAUUAGCUUGUUGGCGGGGUAACGGCCCACCAAGGCGACGAUCAGUAGGGGUUCUGAGAGGAAGGUCCCCACAUUGGAACUGAGACACGGUCCAAACUCC
rnacentral:rRNA from 2 species